rnacentral:lncRNA from 1 species
UUUUUUUUUCUCUCAAACCCACCUCAGUUUGGUUGAGGGGACUACUUGUUUUCAUUAUCUGAAAUAAGGAAUUCGUGAUGCAGUUUGUUACUAUUUCAUGGAUAUUGAAACUAAUGUUGUACUAGUUUAUCAAACAAAUAAGUACAAACAAUGUAAAAGAGAUGUGUAAUUUAGAUAAAUUCAUAUUUGGAUCUUUUAAUUUGAAC